rnacentral:rRNA from 1 species
GCACAAGCGGUGGAGCAUGUGGUUUAAUUCGACGCAACGCGAAGAACCUUACCUGGGCUCGAAAUGUAGUGGAAUCCGGCAGAAACGUCGGCGUCUAGCAAUAGACCGCUAUAUAGGUGCUGCAUGGCUGUCGUCAGCUCGUGUCGUGAGAUGUUGGGUUAAGUCCCGCAACGAGCGCAACCCUUAUCUACAGUUGCUACCAUUUAGUUGAGCACUCUGUCGAAACCGCCUCGGAUAACGGGGAGGAAGGUGGGGAUGACGUCAAGUCCUCAUGGCCUUUAUGUCCAGGGCUACACACGUGCUACAAUGGCCGGUACAAACCGCUGCAAACCCGCGAGGGGGAGCUAAUCGGAAAAAGCCGGCCUCAGUUCGGAUCGCAGUCUGCAACUCGACUGCGUGAAGCUGGAAUCGCUAGUAAUCGCGGAUCAGAACGCCGCGGUGAAUACGUUCCCGGGC